rnacentral:rRNA from 1 species
UACCAGCACCCCGAGUGGUCGGGACGAUUAUUGGGCCUAAAGCAUCCGUAGCCGGUUUUACAAGUCCUCCGUUAAAUCCAGCUGCUUAACAGAUGGGCUGCGGAGGAUACUAUAAGACUAGGAGGCAGGAGAGGCAAGCGGUACUCAGUGGGUAGGGGUAAAAUCCGUUGAUCCAUUGAAGACCACCAAUGGCGAAGGCAGCUCGCUGGGACGGUACUGACGCUGAGGCGCGAAAGCGUGGGGAGCAAACAGG